GAUGAACGCUAGCGGCAGGCUUAACACAUGCAAGUCGAGGGGCAGCGAGAGAGUUAGCAAUACUUUUGUCGGCGACCGGCGCAAGGGUGCGUAACGCGUGAGCAACAUGCCCGUAAACAGGCGGAUAGACCGUGGAAACGCGGACGUAAACCGCCAUAAGUUAGGAACAGGGCAAUCUGUUUCGAAUGAAAUCUUCGGAGGUUACGGAUUGGCUCGCGAGACAUUAGCCAGUUGGCGGGGUAACGCCCACCAAAGCUACGAUGUCUAGGGGGUUCUGAGAGGAA
rnacentral:rRNA from 1 species